rnacentral:rRNA from 1 species
GACGAACGCUGGCGGCGUGCCUAAUACAUGCAAGUAGAACGCUGAAGCUUGGUGCUUGCACCGAGCGGAUGAGUUGCGAACGGGUGAGUAACGCGUAGGUAACCUGCCUGGUAGCGGGGGAUAACUAUUGGAAACGAUAGCUAAUACCGCAUAAGAGUAGAUGUUGCAUGACAUUUGCUUAAAAGGUGCAAUUGCAUCACUACCAGAUGGACCUGCGUUGUAUUAGCUAGUUGGUGAGGUAACGGCUCACCAAGGCAACGAUACAUAGCCGACCUGGGAGGGAGAUCGGCCACACUGGGACCGAGACACGGCCCAGACUCCUACGGGAGGCAGCAGGAGGGAAUCUUCGGCAAUAGACGGAAGUCUGACCGAGCAACGCCGCGUGAGUGAAGAAGGUUUUCGGAUCGUAAAGCUCUGUUGUAAGAGAAGAACGAGUGUGAGAGUGGAAAGUUCACACUGUGACGGUAUCUUAACAGAAAGGGACGGCUAACUACGUG